ACGCUCGUUGACGUGCGCGAGCAGUGUGGGUGCAAUAAUUGAAUAACAUAGAUUCCUAAAUUAAUUUUGCAGUGGUCAGCCUGUUAAGGUAAUGCUGCCUUUGCAGACUGACACAUCUGAGGUUGAAAUGGUCUGAUGAGUUUGUGCACAACGUGUUGGAAGGCAGUUCCUCUGUGAGACUCAGUUGGACCAACAAACACAGCCUACUUCUCCACAGAGAAACCACAAGCAGAGUCUACGAGGGAGCCGGAUCGAAAGCUUCCUUUUCAUCAUCUCACAGAAUCGAYCACUGCAUCCGGCCAUGAAAGUGACAACGAGAAUCAUGUUGUGCUUGUCAAUCAUACUGAAUGGUGUACGUUUGAGAGAGUCCCUGGGUGUAUCACUGAAGAGCUUAUCAGUGAAAGUGGGRGAGGAUGCCACUCUGGACUGCACUCUGUCCACUAACUGUAGCAUGGCCACUGUGAGCUGGUACAAGCAGAGUCAAGGAGAGAGGCCUGAACUGGUACUCAGCUACCGCCUGACUAACACCUCUCACGUGCUCUACGGCCACGGCUUCCAUCCCAACAAGAUCACUGUCCAGACCAAUGAUAGCAGGCCACUUCACCAGCAUCAGUUACUGAUCCAUGGAUCUAAAGAGAAUGACGUGGCUGUUUAUUUCUGUGGACUAACAGAAGGAUUUGAAAGAACAACUGAUUUGUAGAGACGGAUGUGAGGUGUACUAUGUGAUAACACUGUACUGUAUCUACAGGCUACUCUGUAUUGGUCUUCCAAAGCAGCUCCUAAUAAA